rnacentral:rRNA from 1 species
GACGAACGCUGGCGGCGUGCUUAACACAUGUAAGUCGAACGGAAAGGCCCUGCUUGCAGGGUACUCGAGUGGCGAACGGGUGAGUAACACGUGGGUGAUCUGCCCUGCACUUCGGGAUAAGCCUGGGAAACUGGGUCUAAUACCGGAUAGGAGCCAUUUUUAGUGUGAUGGUUGGAAAGUUUUUUUCGGUGUAGGAUGAGCUCGCGGCCUAUCAGCUUGUUGGUGGGGUAAUGGCCUACCAAGGCGGCGACGGGUAGCCGGCCUGAGAGGGUGGACGGCCACAUUGGGACUGAGAUACGGCCCAGACUCCUACGGGAGGCAGCAGUGGGGAAUAUUGCACAAUGGGCGCAAGCCUGAUGCAGCGACGCCGCGUGGGGGAUGACGGCCUUCGGGUUGUAAACUCCUUUCGCUAGGGACGAAGCUUUUUGUGACGGUACCUAGAUAAGAAGCACCGGCUAACUACGUG